rnacentral:rRNA from 1 species
GAAAGGAACUGCUAAUACCGCAUACGUCCUACGGGAGAAAGCAGGGGACCUUCGGGCCUUGCUUCUAUCAGAUGAGCCUAGGUCGGAUUAGCUAGUUGGUGAGGUAAUGGCUCACCAAGGCUACGAUCCGUAACUGGUCUGAGAGGAUGAUCAGUCACACUGGAACUGAGACACGGUCCAGACUCCUACGGGAGGCAGCAGUGGGGAAUAUUGGACAAUGGGCGAAAGCCUGAUCCAGCCAUGCCGCGUGUGUGAAGAAGGUCUUCGGAUUGUAAAGCACUUUAAGUUGGGAGGAAGGGCAGUAAGCUAAUACCUUGCUGUUUUGACGUUACCGACAGAAUAAGCACCGGCUAACUUCGUGCCAGCAGCCGCGGUAAUACGAAGGGUGCAAGCGUUAAUCGGAAUUACUGGGCGUAAAGCGCGCGUAGGUGGUUCGUUAAGUUGGAUGUGAAAGCCCCGGGCUCAACCUGGGAACUGCAUCCAAAACUGGCGAGCUAGAGUAUGGCAGAGGGUGGUGGAAUUCCUGUGUAGCCGGUGAAAUGCGUAGAUAUAGGAAAGGAACACCAGUGGGGGAGGCGACCACCCUGGGGCUAAUACUGACACUGAGGUGCGAAAGCUUGGGGGAGC